CGUGCUAAGGUAGCAUAAUCAUUUGGUUUUUAAUUGGAAUCUGGGAUGAAAGGUCAAACAAAUAUUAUUUUCUUGCUUUCAAAGCGUGAAGUUAAGAUUUUAGUAAAAACGCUGAAGUAAUUACGGGACGAUAAGACCCUAAAAGCUUUACUUUUAAAAAAUUAUUUUAUUUUUAGUGUGUAAUAAUAUAUAUAUAAGGUUUGGUUGGGGUAACAGCUCUAAAAGUAUUAGGGUAAAUUUAAUAAAAUAUUUAGUUAAAGAUCCUUAAAAUUAGGGUUAAAGUAAAAGUUACUUUAGGGGUAACAGAGUAAUUAUUUUAUGGAGCUCGUAUUUACAAAAUAGGUUGCUACCUCGAUGUUGAAUUAAGAUUUCGGCGUGGUGCAAAAGACACGUAAAGAAGGUUUGUUCAACCUUUAAUUUCUUACAUGAUCUGAGUUCAAACCGGA
rnacentral:rRNA from 1 species